AAAGAAAGUAAGCAAGGGCGCAUGGCGGAUGCCUUGGCUCUCGGAGGCGAUGAAGGACGUGAUAAGCUGCGAUAAGCUUCGGGCAGGUGCAAAUAACCUUUGAUCCGAAGAUUUCCGAAUGGGACAACCCGUCAUUCUGAAGGAAUGACAUCUUGCAUAGCAAGAGGCUAACGCAGGGAACUGAAACAUCUUAGUACCUGUAGGAAAAGAAAAUAAUAAUGAUUCCCCUAGUAGUGGCGAGCGAACGGGGAUUAGCCCAAACCAUGUUGUUACGGCAAUAUUGGGGUUGUAGGACCACGAUGUCGCAAGAAGUUUAGUGAGAAGAACCCUUUGGAAAAUGGGACCAUAGACGGUGAUAGUCCGGUAUUCGAAGCUAAAUGAAGCGUAGUGGUAUCCUGAGUAGGGCGGGACACGAGGAAUCCUGUCUGAAUCUGCCGGGACCAUCCGGUAAGGCUAAAUACUCCCAAGAGACCGAUAGUGAACCAGUACCGUGAGGGAAAGGUGAAAAGAACCCCGAACAGGGGAGUGAAAUAGAACCUGAAACCAUACGCUUACAACCUGUCGGAGCGGCUUCGUGCCGUGACGGCGUGCCUAUUGAAUAAUGAGCCUACGAGUUACUAAUCACUGGCAAGGUUAAGUGCACGGAUGCACGGAGCCGAAGCGAAAGCGAGUCUGAAUAGGGCGUUUAGUCAGUGGUUGUAGACGCGAAACCUUGCGAUCUACCCUUGAGCAGGUUGAAGGUUGGGUAAAACCAACUGGAGGACCGAACGAAUAAGCGUUGAAAAGCUUCUCGAUGACUUGAGGGUAGGGGUGAAAGGCUAAUCAAGCUGGGAAAUAGCUCGUACUCCCCGAAAUGCCUUUAGGGGCAGCGUUGUAAUUAAGAGUCUACUGGAGGUAGAGCUACUGAUUGGAUGCGGGGGCUUCACCGCCUACCAAAUCCUGACC
rnacentral:rRNA from 1 species